CAUGACUUCUGUCAAUUCAGUUAUUAUAUCCACAUUUGAAAAGUAGAAGUGCAAGGUACAGCAACAAAGGUUGAAGCGUGGAAGGACUCCUUACAUGAUGACAUUGUGAACUCUGGGUUUUGAUGGCUGCGUCAAAGAUGCAGGAAUGGGGCCGUGAACCAAGCAACGUGGGCAGCCUCUAAAAGCUGGAAAAGUCUAAGAGGUGGAUUCUCCCCAGAGCCUCUAGAGAAAAUGCAGCUCUGUCUGUGGACACCUUGGUUUUACCUUUUUAGACCCAUUUUGCAAUUUUGACCUCCAGAACUAUAAGCUUUCCCAAAGCUUCAUGUUUCCGCCCCAAUGGAGACUGAGGAUAGAAACUUGUAUGAUUGUGG